rnacentral:rRNA from 1 species
GAUGAACGCUAGCUACAGGCUUAACACAUGCAAGUCGAGGGGCAGCAUUAGGUAGCAAUACUGAGAUGGCGACCGGCGCACGGGUGCGUAACGCGUAUCCAACCUUCCCGUUACUCUUGGAUAGCCUUCCGAAAGGGAGAUUAAUACAAGAUGGUGUUGAAAUUCCGCAUGUUAUUUCAACUAAAGAUUUAUCGGUAACGGAUGGGGAUGCGUGACAUUAGGUAGUUGGGGGUGUAACGGACCACCAAGCCGACGAUGUCUAGGGGUUCUGAGAGGAAGGUCCCCCACACUGGUACUGAGACACGGACCAGACUCCUACGGGAGGCAGCAGUGAGGAAUAUUGGUCAAUGGGCGAGAGCCUGAACCAGCCAAGUCGCGUGAGGGAUGACGGUACUAAGUAUUGUAAACCUCUUUUGUCAGGGAACAAAGAGACCACGUGUGGUAAGAUGAGUGUACCUGAAGAAAAAGCAUCGGCUAACUCCGUG